rnacentral:misc_RNA from 1 species
UUUCCGUAGGUGAACCUGCGGAAGGAUGAUUAACGAGAUGUUGGCUUCGGCUGACAACUUCACACCAUGAUUUUGAAUCUCUGCUUCGGCGGGACACCGAAAGGUCGUCGACGUCUGUGGGCGAGCGCCCGCCGAAAUUAUACUCCUUUUUAUCUAUUGUCAGUUACAAAACAAAUAAAUAAAAACUUUCAACAACGGAUCUCUUGGUUCUGGCAUCGAUGAAGAACGCAGC